rnacentral:rRNA from 1 species
UCUUGACAUCCAGAGAACUUGGCAGAGAUGCUUUGGUGCCUUUCGGGGAACUCUGAGACAGGUGCUGCGUGGCUGUCGUCAGCUCGUGUUGUGAAAUGUUGGGUUAAGUCCGCAACGAGCCGCAACCCCCUAUCCUUUGUUGCCAGCGAUUCGGUCGGGAACUCAAAGGAGACUGCCGGUGAUAAACCGGAGGAAGGUGGGGAUGACGUCAAGUCAUCAUGGCCCUUACGAGUAGGGCUACACACGUGCUACAAUGGCGCAUACAAAGAGAAGCGACCUCGCGAGAGCAAGCGGACCUCAUAAAGUGCGUCGUAGUCCGGAUCGGAGUCUGCAACUCGACUCCGUGAAGUCGGAAUCGCUAGUAAUCGUAGAUCAGAAUGCUACGGUGAAUACGUUCCCGGGCCUUGUACACACCGCCCGUCACACCAUGGGAGUGGGUUGCAAAAGAAGUAGAUAGCUUAACCUUCGGGAGGGCGUUUACCACUUUGUGAUUCAUGACUGGGGUGAAGUCGUAACAAGGUAGGCGUAGACGU